CAAAGGGACAGAGGCUGGUGACACUGUCCCUUCCCUCCCUUUCCUUCUGUGUGGAGUUUUGGCAGCUGAUUUUGAACAUACGGGAAAAGACACAGAAAUACACAAGAGACACAGAAAUGCUGGACCUGAUGCUGCUAGCCGUAAGUCAUGGAAGAUUUGAGAAUAUUCAUCAUUCAAAACAGCAACAUCCAGUACCAGCUGAGCGGCCUCGGAGCAUCCUUGUUCAGUGCUCCAGUGAGGUGAUCCAGAAAGCUCAGAAACAGGCCCAGCAUCAGGACAGCAGUGCACACGAAGGAGAAAAUACAAACUGAGACUUCAGAUGGAGGAAGGCUGGGACAAGGAGAGCAAAGGAGAGGGGAGUCUUAGAACUUUGCACUGUUGCAUAUGGAAGCCACCAGCUA